rnacentral:rRNA from 1 species
UACGUAGGGGGCAAGCGUUAUCCGGAUUUACUGGGUGUAAAGGGGGCGCAGACGGCGAUGCAAGCCAGGAGUGAAAGCCCGGGGCCCAACCCCGGGACUGCUCUUGGAACUGCGUGGCUGGAGUGCAGGAGGGGCAGGCGGAAUUCCUGGUGUAGCGGUGAAAUGCGUAGAUAUCAGGAGGAACGCCAGUGGCGAAGGCGGUCUGCUGGACAGCAACUGACGCUGAGGCGCGAAAGCGUGGGGAGCAAACAGG